rnacentral:rRNA from 1 species
UACGUAGGGGGCAAGCGUUGUCCGGAUUUAUUGGGCGUAAAGAGCGUGUAGGCGGCCAGGUAGGUCCGUUGUGAAAACUCGAGGCUCAACCUCGAGACGCCGAUGGAAACCCCCAGGCUAGAGUCCGGAAGAGGAGAGUGGAAUUCCUGGUGUAGCGGUGAAAUGCGCAGAUAUCAGGAAGAACACCCGUGGCUAAGGCGGCUCUCUAGUACGGUACUGACGCUGAGACGCGAAAGCGUGGGGAGCGAACAGG